CAUGGCUUUUUGUUAUUUAUAUAAGGUCUAACCUGCCCAAUGAUGUAAUUAAAUGGCCGCGGUAUUUUGACCGUGCAAAGGUAGCAUAAUCAUUAGUUUUUUAAUUGAAAGCUGGAAUGAAAGGUUGAAUGAGAAAAUGACUGUCUUUAUUAUAUUUAAUUAAAACUUUAUCUUUAAGUUAAAAAGCUUAAAUAUUAUUUAAAGACGAGAAGACCCUUUAGAGUUUUAUAAAAAAUUAUUUUUUGGCCUUUAAGAAUUAACUAUAAGAAAAUUAAUUUUUAUUUAGUUGGGGCGAUUAAAAAAUUUAAAAAACUUUUUUUUUUAUUUAACAUUAAUUUAUGUAUAUUUGAUCCAUAUAUUAUGAUUAUAAGAUUAAAUUACCUAAGGGAUAACAGCGUUAUUUUUUUUGAGAGUUCUUAUCGAAAAAAGAGAUUGCGACCUCGAUGUUGGAUUAAAAUUAAAUUAUGGUGCAGAAGCUAUAAC
rnacentral:rRNA from 1 species